GUGGGGAAUCUUAGACAAUGGGCGCAAGCCUGAUCUAGCCAUGCCGCGUGAGCGAUGAAGGCCUUAGGGUUGUAAAGCUCUUUCGUGGGGGAAGAUAAUGACUGUACCCCAAGAAGAAGCCCCGGCUAACUCCGUGCCAGCAGCCGCGGUAAUACGGAGGGGGCUAGCGUUGUUCGGAAUUACUGGGCGUAAAGCGCACGUAGGCGGACUGGAAAGUCAGGGGUGAAAUCCCGGGGCUCAACCCCGGAACUGCCUUUGAAACUCCCAGUCUUGAGUUCGAGAGAGGUGAGUGGAAUUCCGAGUGUAGAGGUGAAAUUCGUAGAUAUUCGGAGGAACACCAGUGGCGAAGGCGGCUCACUGGCUCGAUACUGACGCUGAGGUGCGAAAGCGUGGGGAGCAAACAGGAUUAGAUACCCCGGUAGUC
rnacentral:rRNA from 1 species